rnacentral:misc_RNA from 1 species
AACGCACAUUGCGCCCCUUGGUAUUCCGGGGGGCAUGCCUGUUCGAGCGUCAUUAUAACCCUCAAGCCUAGCUUGGUGUUGGAGCAUGCCCUUUAGCAGCUUCUAAAAUCAGUGGCAGUGCCUUCUAGCUCUAAGCGUAGUAACUUUUCUCGCUAUAGGGCCUAGAGGACCGCUUGCCAAAACCCCCAAUUUUCUAUGGUUGACCUCGGAUCAGGUAGGGAUACCCGCUGAACUUAA